GGGUUGUGAGGUUAAGCGACUAAGCGUACACGGUGGAUGCCCUGGCAGUCAGAGGCGAUGAAGGACGUGCUAAUCUGCGAAAAGCGUCGGUAAGGUGAUAUGAACCGUUAUAACCGGCGAUGUCCGAAUGGGGAAACCCAGUGUGAUUCGUCACACUAUCGUUAACUGAAUACAUAGGUUAACGAGGCGAACCGGGGGAACUGAAACAUCUAAGUACCCCGAGGAAAAGAAAUCAACCGAGAUUCCCCCAGUAGCGGCGAGCGAACGGGGAGCAGCCCAGAGUCUGAAUCAGCUUGUGUGUUAGUGGAACGGUCUGGAAAGUCCGACGGUACAGGGUGAUAGUCCCGUACACCAAAAUGCACAGGCUGUGAACUCGAAGAGUAGGGCGGGACACGUGGUAUCCUGUCUGAAUAUGGGGGACCAUCCUCCAAGGCUAAAUACUCCUGACUGACCGAUAGUGAACCAGUACCGUGAGGGAAAGGCGAAAAGAACCCCGGCGAGGGGAGUGAAAAAGAACCUGAAACCGUGUACGUACAAGCAGUGGGAGCACCUUCGGGUGUGACUGCGUACCUUUUGUAUAAUGGGUCAGCGACUUAUAUUCUGUAGCAAGGUUAACCGUAUAGGGGAGCCGCAGGGAAACCGAGUCUUAACUGGGCGUUAAGUUGCAGGGUAUAGACCCGAAACCCGGUGAUCUAGCCAUGGGCAGGUUGAAGGUUGGGUAACACUAACUGGAGGACCGAACCGACUAAUGUUGAAAAAUUAGCGGAUGACUUGUGGCUGGGGGUGAAAGGCCAAUCAAACCGGGAGAUAGCUGGUUCUCCCCGAAAGCUAUUUAGGUAGCGCCUCGUGAACUCAUCUUCGGGGGUAGAGCACUGUUUCGGCUAGGGGGUCAUCCCGACUUACCAACCCGAUGCAAACUACGAAUACCGAAGAAUGUUAUCACGGGAGACACACGGCGGGUGCUAACGUCCGUCGUGAAGAGGGAAACAACCCAGACCGCCAGCUAAGGUCCCAAAGUCAUGGUUAAGUGGGAAACGAUGUGGGAAGGCACAGACAGCCAGGAUGUUGGCUUAGAAGCAGCCAUCAUUUAAAGAAAGCGUAAUAGCUCACUGGUCGAGUCGGCCUGCGCGGAAGAUGUAACGGGGCUAAACCAUGCACCGAAGCUGCGGCAGCGACACUAUGUGUUGUUGGGUAGGGGAGCGUUCUGUAAGCCUGCGAAGGUGUGCUGUGAGGCAUGCUGGAGGUAUCAGAAGUGCGAAUGCUGACAUAAGUAACGAUAAAGCGGGUGAAAAGCCCGCUCGCCGGAAGACCAAGGGUUCCUGUCCAACGUUAAUCGGGGCAGGGUGAGUCGACCCCUAAGGCGAGGCCGAAAGGCGUAGUCGAUGGGAAACAGGUUAAUAUUCCUGUACUUGGUGUUACUGCGAAGGGGGACGGAGAAGGCUAUGUUAGCCGGGCGACGGUUGUCCCGGUUUAAGCAUGUAGGCUGGUUAUCCAGGCAAAUCCGGAUAAUCAAGGCUGAGGUGUGAUGACGAGGCACUACGGUGCUGAAGUAACAAAUGCCCUGCUUCCAGGAAAAGCCUCUAAGCAUCAGGUAACAUUAAAUCGUACCCCAAACCGACACAGGUGGUCAGGUAGAGAAUACCAAGGCGCUUGAGAGAACUCGGGUGAAGGAACUAGGCAAAAUGGUGCCGUAACUUCGGGAGAAGGCACGCUGGUGUGUAGGUGAAGCCCCUGCGGGUGGAGCUGAGACCAGUCGAAGAUACCAGCUGGCUGCAACUGUUUAUUAAAAACACAGCACUGUGCAAACACGAAAGUGGACGUAUACGGUGUGACGCCUGCCCGGUGCCGGAAGGUUAAUUGAUGGGGUUAUCCGUAAGGAGAAGCUCUUGAUCGAAGCCCCGGUAAACGGCGGCCGUAACUAUAACGGUCCUAAGGUAGCGAAAUUCCUUGUCGGGUAAGUUCCGACCUGCACGAAUGGCGUAAUGAUGGCCAGGCUGUCUCCACCCGAGACUCAGUGAAAUUGAACUCGCUGUGAAGAUGCAGUGUACCCGCGGCAAGACGGAAAGACCCCGUGAACCUUUACUAUAGCUUGACACUGAACAUUGAGCCUUGAUGUGUAGGAUAGGUGGGAGGCUUUGAAGCGUGGACGCCAGUCUGCGUGGAGCCAACCUUGAAAUACCACCCUUUAAUGUUUGAUGUUCUAACGUUGGCCCCUGACCGGGGUUGCGGACAGUGUCUGGUGGGUAGUUUGACUGGGGCGGUCUCCUCCCAAAGCGUAACGGAGGAGCACGAAGGUUAGCUAAUCCUGGUCGGACAUCAGGAGGUUAGUGCAAUGGCAUAAGCUAGCUUGACUGCGAGCGUGACGGCGCGAGCAGGUGCGAAAGCAGGUCAUAGUGAUCCGGUGGUUCUGAAUGGAAGGGCCAUCGCUCAACGGAUAAAAGGUACUCCGGGGAUAACAGGCUGAUACCGCCCAAGAGUUCAUAUCGACGGCGGUGUUUGGCACCUCGAUGUCGGCUCAUCACAUCCUGGGGCUGAAGUAGGUCCCAAGGGUAUGGCUGUUCGCCAUUUAAAGUGGUACGCGAGCUGGGUUUAGAACGUCGUGAGACAGUUCGGUCCCUAUCUGCCGUGGGCGCUGGAGAAUUGAGGGGGGCUGCUCCUAGUACGAGAGGACCGGAGUGGACGCAUCACUGGUGUUCGGGUUGUCAUGCCAAUGGCACUGCCCGGUAGCUAAAUGCGGAAGAGAUAAGUGCUGAAAGCAUCUAAGCACGAAACUUGCCCCGAGAUGAGUUCUCCCUGAGACUUUAAGUCUCCUGAAGGAACGUUAAAGACGAUGACGUUGAUAGGCCGGGUGUGUAAGCGCAGCGAUGCGUUGAGCUAACCGGUACUAAUGAACCGUGAGGCUUAACCUUACAACGCCGAAG
rnacentral:rRNA from 1 species